CAACAACCUAUUAUUUUCCUUUUCACCAACUUUUGGCUACUCCCUGAUCACAUUCAGGGUGCAAAAAUGCUAGGAGUGAACAGUUAACCAAUCCCUAUCCUGCACCAGCACAUAUGACAGAACCUAUUUGGAAUUCUUUUACAGGAUGCACUAGCUAAUGCAGAUAAGCUCUGUGGCAUCAAUUCACCCUCCAGAAGAAACCCAAAUAGCAACACAGGAUGAAGGUCAAGGAUUAACUGAUGCUAAUGGAAAUGUUCCCAGUGACCGUCCAGAUAAAAUAUUGUAUCCCAGCUGAUGAGGCCGGCACAUGAUGACAACACUACAAGCACCAAGAAAAUUGAUGCGAUGGCCUGUCUUAAGUUGGCUUCCUCUAUUGGUCUUUUAUCUGACAAGACACCUUUGGCAAAGUCUCAUCAAUAUGCUACUUUUCAUCUGCCUGACACUGAAAUCAAUGGACUGCAGAAGAAGCCUCUCGAUCAGCAUUGUCAGAAAUGAUCACCAUGCUGGACGGAGCAUGCUACCUGAUUUCUCCUGACUGAACUCCCACAAAAGCAUGGCUGCAAAUCCCAGAGAAAGAAGAAAGAGAACUUACAUAAAGGAGGCUUUCUGGAGAACUCGCUGUAAGAGGGUCAAUGCGGAAAUAUGGAAUGUGCUUAGGAGUCCACUGAAGCAGUCCAGAGGCCACUACCAGCUGUUAGAACAUCCAUCUCCAUCAUGAUCUGAGCAACUGAAAGGAGAGGCUCACCUAAGCUGCCUGAUUGAAGAGAAGAAAUCAGGAGAAGGUUGAAGCAGCAGCCAGGUGGGAGAAAAACCCAUCUUAGCACUGCUGGCAAACCUGGAAACACAGUGAUCCACCAGGUUCAUCGCUGGGUCAUUGGGCAAUCCCCUCUGCCCUGGCACCUUUCACUGCUCUCAUUCAAUCAAUGAACAUGACCAAGUAUCUAUUACACGCAUCAGGUCCCAUGCUAAUUGGGCGGUGGGAAGAGGAUAAGAUAUAAAAGACCCAGUUCUAUAAACUGUCAGCUUUCUGAGAGCUCCAUAUUCCCAGUAUCUAGAACAGUAGAUGGCACACCUUAGCCUCAAGUCAGUAUUUGCUGUUUCAAUUAAGUAACCCUAGUUACUGCCUGGGUAGAAUGGCUUGAUGCCCUGCUUGAGACCAGGAGUUACAGAUUUUAGUUAGAAAACAAGGCUCUUCUCUGCUCUAUUGCCAAUCAGGGGCGAGUUUGUAUCCUCAGAGGGCAGCAGCUGCAUUCCUAGUAUCAUCUUUGCCUCAUCCGCCACUCUGGCACUGCACAAACUGAGCCCCGUGAAGCGCCGCGUUCCCUCUCUCCCUGAAGCGACGCCCCCUUCCUUCUCAGAGGGCCCCCUGAGCUGCGUCCCUCUGCCCCAGAGCUGUGCCUGGCGUCUG
rnacentral:lncRNA from 10 species